rnacentral:misc_RNA from 1 species
GAAAUGCGAUACGUAAUGCGAAUUGCAGAAUUCACGUCACACGCCGUCGCUUGAAAUAUAUGGAGUGAAGUUCAACCCGUUAAUCAGCUCACAGCUUCGGUUGUGAUAGUUCUUCAUUGAGCGGUUGAUGACGAGUGACGUGAAUUCUGGGCCUCGGCUCUCUUUUACGUGUAUCUCGUUCAGCAGCCAUUCCAAAGUUCAAUGCAAGGGCGAACGUUUAAUGGACGGGCUUUUCACGUUCCGUGGCGCAAGCUACAAUCGGCUUAUGAACAAUCCUCGAUUUUCAUAUAGUCUGAAUUUUGAUCUGAAAUGAAGUGAGACAACCCCCUGAACUUAA